CACGUAGGGUCCGAGCGUUGUCCGGAAUUACUGGGCGUAAAGCGCGCGCAGGCGGUCUGGUCAGUCGAUGGUGAAAGCCCCACGCUCAACGUGGGAAGGUCCGUCGAGACGGCCAGACUGGAGGCAGGGAGAGGUCGGUGGAAUUCCGGGUGUAGUGGUGAAAUGCGUAGAGAUCCGGAGGAACACCAGAGGCGAAGGCGGCCGACUGGACCUGACCUGACGCUGAGGCGCGAAGGCGUGGGGAGCGAAC
rnacentral:rRNA from 1 species